UCCGGAGCUAACGCGUUAAAUCGACCGCCUGGGGAGUACGGCCGCAAGGUUAAAACUCAAAUGAAUUGACGGGGGCCCGCACAAGCGGUGGAGCAUGUGGUUUAAUUCGAUGCAACGCGAAGAACCUUACCUGGUCUUGACAUCCACAGAACUUGCCAGAGAUGGCUUGGUGCCUUCGGGAACUGUGAGACAGGUGCUGCAUGGCUGUCGUCAGCUCGUGUUGUGAAAUGUUGGGUUAAGUCCCGCAACGAGCGCAACCCUUAUCCUUUGUUGCCAGCGGUCCGGCCGGGAACUCAAAGGAGACUGCCAGUGAUAAACUGGAGGAAGGUGGGGAUGACGUCAAGUCAUCAUGGCCCUUACGACCAGGGCUACACACGUGCUACAAUGGCAUAUACAAAGAGAAGCGACCUCGCGAGAGCAAGCGGACCUCAUAAAGU
rnacentral:rRNA from 1 species